rnacentral:rRNA from 1 species
CGUGAACCUUUACUAUAGCUUGACACUGAACAUUGAGCCUUGAUGUGUAGGAUAGGUGGGAGGCUUUGAAGUGUGGACGCCAGUCUGCAUGGAGCCGACCUUGAAAUACCACCCUUUAAUGUUUGAUGUUCUAACGUGGACCCGUAAUCCGGGUUGCGGACAGUGUCUGGUGGGUAGUUUGACUGGGGCGGUCUCCUCCUAAAGAGUAACGGAGGAGCACGAAGGUUGGCUAAUCCUGGUCGGACAUCAGGAGGUUAGUGCAAUGGCAUAAGCCAGCUUGACUGCGAGCGUGACGGCGCGAGCAGGUGCGAAAGCAGGUCAUAGUGAUCCGGUGGUUCUGAAUGGAAGGGCCAUCGCUCAACGGAUAAAAGGUACUCCGGGGAUAACAGGCUGAUACCGCCCAAGAGUUCAUAUCGACGGCGGUGUUUGGCACCUCGAUGUCGGCUCAUCACAUCCUGGGGCUGAAGUAGGUCCCAAGGGUAUGGCUGUUCGCCAUUUAAAGUGGUACGCGAGCUGGGUUUAGAACGUCGUGAGACAGUUCGGUCCCUAUCUGCCGUGGGCGCUGGAGAACUGAGGGGGGCUGCUCCUAGUACGAGAGGACCGGAGUGGACGCAUCACUGGUGUUCGGGUUGUCAUGCCAAUGGCACUGCCCGGUAGCUAAAUGCGGAAGAGAUAAGUGCUGAAAGCAUCUAAGCACGAAACUUGCCCCGAGAUGAGUUCUCCCUGAGACUUAG